AUGAUCGCCGCGCAUCUUCGUCGCUACUGUGAGCCUGAUCAGCGAUUCAAACAUUUCGGUGAACUCCUCAUCUACUUUGUCGCCUCCUGCAUGAUUUCAGCAUUCUCAAUCUUUGCUUGCCUUGUUGAGCUUCUCCUAAUCUUUCUUUCCCUCUUCCUCCUGAUCUAUUUCUCUCCCACUGCCCCUCUUCGUUCCCAAACCAGUGGCUAUAUGUGGGUGGAAAUCUGCACUCUUUGCUCUCUUAUGCCAUCUUUGCAUUGCUUAUUCAUGUUUGGACAACUACCUUCUAAUUUAUCAUAUUCAGAAAUUUGGAGAUCAUCUUUUUCAUGCUAUCCGUGA
rnacentral:rRNA from 1 species